rnacentral:rRNA from 1 species
UACGAAGGGGGCUAGCGUUGCUCGGAAUCACUGGGCGUAAAGGGUGCGUAGGCGGGUCUUUAAGUCAGGGGUGAAAUCCUGGAGCUCAACUCCAGAACUGCCUUUGAUACUGAGGAUCUUGAGUCCGGGAGAGGUGAGUGGAACUGCGAGUGUAGAGGUGAAAUUCGUAGAUAUUCGCAAGAACACCAGUGGCGAAGGCGGCUCACUGGCUCGGUACUGACGCUGAGGCACGAAAGCGUGGGGAGCAAACAGG